GGGGUUGAAAUGGUUUCGACGUUUUAGUAUAUAUCUUCUUACAAGCAAGUCGAGAAUGAACCAAUCUCGUAAACUUGAGUUCAAUUGCAAAUAAAUGCUAACAAUAUUUUACCUUUUAAUCGUAAGACAGCCGUAGCUGUUUAAAAGUUUUUUGAUAACUUCGAGCAUUUUUGAUUUGUUAAAUACAAUUGUUAUAAAACAAAUUAAAUAAUAGUUUUUGUUUCUUUACAAAUAAUGUAGAAAUAAUUUUUUUUAGCUUUUCAAGCUCCAGCUUUGUGGAUUAGCAAAGCUAAACUUGUGAAUACAAAGAAGAGAUCAAACUAAAGCGGACGCGGGUUCAAAACCCGCCAGCUCCAUAA
rnacentral:tmRNA from 1 species